UACGUAGGGUGCGAGCGUUAAUCGGAAUUACUGGGCGUAAAGUGUGCGCAGGCGGUCUGUUAAGACCGAUGUGAAAUCCCCGGGCUUAACCUGGGAACUGCAUUGGUGACUGGCAGGCUUUGAGUGUGGCAGAGGGAGGUAGAAUUCCACGUGUAGCAGUGAAAUGCGUAGAGAUGUGGAGGAAUACCGAUGGCGAAGGCAGCCUCCUGGGCCAACACUGACGCUCAUGCACGAAAGCGUGGGGAGCAAACAGG
rnacentral:rRNA from 1 species